rnacentral:rRNA from 1 species
GAACGCGAAAGUGGAGCAUCCAUGAGUAAAGUGGCGCNACGGGUGAGUAACACGUGACUAACCUACCCUUGAGUGGGGGAUAACUUCGGGAAACCGAGGCUAAUACCGCAUAACACCUACGGGUCAAAGGAGCAAUUCGCUCGAGGAGGGGGUCGCGGCCGAUUAGUUAGUUGGCAGGGUAAUGGCCUACCAAGACGAUGAUCGGUAUCCGGCCUGAGAGGGCGCACGGACACACUGGAACUGAAACACGGUCCAGACUCCUACGGGAGGCAGCAGUGGGGAAUUUUGCGCAAUGGGGGAAACCCUGACGCAGCAACGCCGCGUGGAGGAUGAAGUCCUUCGGGACGUAAACUCCUUUCGAUCGGGACGAUUAUGACGGUACCGGAAGAAGAAGCCCCGGCUAACUUCGUGCCAGCAGCCGCGGUAAU